rnacentral:rRNA from 1 species
UACGUAGGGGGCAAGCGUUAUCCGGAUUUACUGGGUGUAAAGGGAGCGUAGACGGCAUGGCAAGCCAGAUGUGAAAUACCGGGGCUCAACCCCGGGACUGCAUUUGGAACUGUUAAGCUGGAGUGUCGAAGAGGCAGGCGGAAUUCCUAGUGUAGCGGUGAAAUGCGUAGAUAUUAGGAGGAACACCAGUGGCGAAGGCGGCCUGCUGGACGAUAACUGACGUUGAGGCUCGAAAGCGUGGGGAGCAAACAGG